AGCAGCCGCGGUAAUUCCAGCUCCAAUAGCGUAUAUUAAAGUUGUUGCAGUUAAAAAGCUCGUAGUUGAAUUUCGGGUUUUAUCCGCUGGUCGGGCUUUCGGGUCUGUACUGGCGUGAUGGAUUCCUACCUUCUGAAUAACCAGCAUGUCAUUAAUUUGGUGCGCUGGGGAAGCAGGACUGUUACCUUGAAAAAAUUAGAGUGCUUAAAGCAGGCUAUUGCCUGAAUACAUUAGCAUGGAAUAAUGAAAUAGGACGCAUGGUUCUAUUUUGUUGGUUUCUAGGAUCACCGUAAUGAUUAAUAGGGAUAGUUGGGGGCAUUAGUAUUCAAUUGUCAGAGGUGAAAUUCUUGGAUUUAUUGAAGACUAACUUCUGCGAAAGCAUUUGCCAAGGAUGUUUUCAUUAAUCAAGAACGAAAGUUAGGGGAUCGAAGACGAUCAGAUACCGUCGUAGUCUUAACCAUAAACUAUGCCGACUAGGGAUCGGACGAUGUUAAUUUUUUAAUGACUCGUUCGGCGCCUUACG
rnacentral:rRNA from 1 species